UCUAUCUUGCCCAAAUCACUCUCCCUUUGAUAGCUUCUCUCAUCUUUAUCACGUUCAUUUUCUCUUACAUCUAGAUUCUAAUUAGUGUUGAGCUCAACAAACGUGGCAGUGGCGAUGGUGAAUCGGAGAAUGGCGUGGUCGAUUUGAUGAGUCAGGUACACUUGAUGGAGAAGGAAGAUGCAGAGAGGUCUGAGAGGGAGAGGAAGGAGUUCGAGGAGAGGGAGAAGGCCUGGCUCGAGGCCAUGGAGAUGAAAAGUUAUAAGAUGGAAGAAGAAGAAGAAUAUGAGGAACAAAGAAAGAAGGCACUGGACGAAGAGUCUUGGAAACAGCAUGUACUCUCUUUUUCCUCUCUCUAUCUAUCUCUAUCUUUCUUCCCGCGUCGCUGCCCAUACCGGCGGCCACGACCUCUCGCCGUCGGCUUUUCUGACCAUUUAUCUCUUCUCAUCCUUCCCUCUCCUCCACUAUCCCUUACCCAGAAAAUUAAAAAAUUAAAAAAUUAACAAAGUAAAACAAAAGAGAUAUUUUUUCGAUGUGUACUUUAUCAAACAGUUUUGUGUGUGCUUUUAUCUGGGGAUUUAUCUCGUAACUUUAUCUUGAGUUCUUCCUAGGGUUUGAUUAUGAUUAAUUUGAGGAAAGGGAAAAAAACAAAAAAAAUGAAAAAGUUCUUAAAAAAUACAGAGACAAAAAAAAAAGUAGAAGAUUGAGUUUUGUUUUGGAUUUAGAGAUGGCCCAAGUUCAGGUUCAGCCUCGAAAUGCGGCUCACGGAGCUAACGCUGGUGCAGCCAAUGGUGGGAACAACCAAUUCGUGACCACGUCGUUGUAUGUUGGAGAUCUUGACCAAUGUGUCACGGAUCCACAACUCUAUGACCUAUUUAACAAGAUGGGUCAGGUCGUUUCAGUUAGGGUUUGCAGGGACUUGACUAGCCUCGAUCACUUGGUUAUGGAUAUGUCAAUUAUAGCAACCCCCAAGAUGUCCUUAUUUGUUCUUACAAAUUUAGUUGAAUUGAUGACAGCUGCGAGGGCUUUGGAAAUGCUGAACUUUUCUCUUUUAAAUGGAAGGCCAAUCAGGGUUAUGUACUCUCACCGUGAUCCUAGUAUUUGCAAAAGUGGGGUUGGCAAUAUUUUUAUUAAGGUACUUGUGUGUAUUAUCUUAUUUUGUGUUUUGCUACAACUUUAAAACAUCACAGCUAUCUGCUAUGCUUACUUUAUAUAUUAUUUUCUCUUGUUGGGACUAACUUUUCUUAUUGUGAAAUUGGUUACAGAAAACAUUCCAACUAUGGUUCAUAAUCGUCCAGUGUGUUUAAAUUUAACAUUUAUUAUGUUUGAACCCUUAACUACAUGAGUUUUUUUAGCAACCAAUUAUUUCUCCUUAACAAUUGAUAGUUUGUUGGGUUUAUUAUCCAGAGUGGAGUUGUUUGGAUGGUGAUGAUAACUUCCAGAGACUCUUUUUCAAUGGCACCGCAGAAAGCUCUUGAAACAAUUGGGAAAAUUUUGAGUGCUCAGUAUGAAAGGUGGCAACCAAGGGUGAGGAUAUUAUUGGCUUGUACAAAGUUCAUAUAAUAUUGUCUUAGAUUUAAUUUUAUUUACCUUUGAAGAACUUUGAGCAGGCACGAUAUAAGGUCCAGCCUGAUCCUACUAUGGAUGAAGUGAAGAAACUUUGUAAUACAUGUCGCCGAUAUGCCAAGUCUGAGAGGGUCCUAUUUCAUUAUAAUGGCCAUGGUGUGCCUAAGCCGACUUCUAGUGGUGAAAUUUGGGUUUUCAAUAAGAGUUAUACAUAGUAUAUCACUUUGCCAAUCAGUGACCUUGAUUCCUGGUUGUAGACACCCUCCAUAUAUGAAUAUGAUUACUCUGCGGCUGAGAAUAUUGUGAAUGCUUUUAUUGAGGUAAAGCUUUAACUCAAAACGUAUAAUGAAUUGAUAUAUGUAUUGAUAAUUAAGGUGCUACGUGACAUGAA